AUUGAACGCUGGCGGCAUGCCUUACACAUGCAAGUCGAACGGCAGCGCGGAGCAACCUGGCGGCGAGUGGCGAACGGGUGAGUAAUAUAUCGGAACGUGCCCUGGAGUGGGGGAUAACGUAGCGAAAGUUACGCUAAUACCGCAUACGAUCCAAGGAUGAAAGCAGGGGACCUUCGGGCCUUGUGCUCCUGGAGCGGCCGAUAUCUGAUUAGCUAGUUGGUGGGGUAAAAGCCUACCAAGGCGACGAUCAGUAGCUGGUCUGAGAGGACGACCAGCCACACUGGAACUGAGACACGGUCCAGACUCCUACGGGAGGCAGCAGUGGGGAAUUUUGGACAAUGGGCGCAAGCCUGAUCCAGCCAAUGCCGCGUGCGGGAAGAA
rnacentral:rRNA from 1 species